rnacentral:rRNA from 1 species
AGGGGGGUAGAAUUCCAGGUGUAGCGGUGAAAUGCGUAGAGAUCUGGAGGAAUACCGGUGGCGAAGGCGGCCCCCUGGACAAAGACUGACGCUCAGGUGCGAAAGCGUGGGGAGCAAACAGGAUUAGAUACCCUGGUAGUCCACGCCGUAAACGAUGUCGAUUUGGAGGUUGUGCCCUUGAGGCGUGGCUUCCGGAGCUAACGCGUUAAAUCGACCGCCUGGGGAGUACGGCCGCAAGGUUAAAACUCAAAUGAAUUGACGGGGGCCCGCACAAGCGGUGGAGCAUGUGGUUUAAUUCGAUGCAACGCGAAGAACCUUACCUGGUCUUGACAUCCACAGAACUUUC